GCGGCGCACGCUCAUGCGGCGCUGCGCGGCGUGCGCGUCUUGCUUUGCGCAGGCGCAGUCGCCCUCCACACGGCUUGGGCGCGCCUCGUGCCCCACGCGACUUCUCCUGUCUCCGUACGAUAUGUGAAAAGACAACAUUGUACCACACAGUGAUCGCAUUGGAAUUGAAACGUGACUCAAUAAGCAAUUGAUAAGAUUUAUACGACAGUGAGGUCAGUGAACGCAAAGGAUUGCCAGAUCUUAUGAUCUGGCCUAUGUAUAGGCCGACUACCCCGCGGGAGGUGACGGUGGUGGAUGGCGCGCAACUAAUUAUAGCCUCCCCUCCAGCGAGAUGAUGGCACGCCGACGGGAGCGCGCACAUGUGGCGCCCGGCGCGGCGGCUACGAGCUCCCUGCCCCGAGCCUAUGGUUAUUUCCGAUACGGUCGCCAAGCGGCGCGGUGAGUGGCGCGCCUUACAUAAGAGACUCCAGCGCGCGACUCUGUGGUUCGCAGCAGCGGCCGGCCCUUGCGCCUCGCGUGCAGCCACGCCGCUAGCUGCAGGUCGCUGCACGUUCGGGAAACCGAUCCGACGGACGCCCGUCGUCCGAUCUAUUUCGGGAAAAUACAAAUUUGGAAUGGACGGCACUCGCGACUCGAAAGCGAACUCCGGCGGCUGAAUCCAUUUUUAGAGGUGGCGUGCGCGUGCGCAGCGAUCGCGUCGCCAGUGCCGUUCGAGCUGCUCGCCGGGUCGCAGGCGCGCCGCGGCGCCGCGACCCUCUCGCACGGACGGCCCUCAGGCCCGUGACGCGCCCUGCCCUCGCCCCGGCAGCGCGGCGUCAUAACUAAUGGCAACACCGACCGAGCCAGUGCAAGAACAAGCGGUUCGACAGUGCAACAUAUUGAAGAUAGAAAAUUGAGCCUUGCGCUAGUUCCGUGCUUCCUUACUUCCCAUAGUGCUAUUAUUCAUAUGGAAUGUAAAGAAGUAUGGAGCUGCGCGGGCGGACCCACCGCUGCGGAUCACUGCUACUUUCUUACGUGACAUCCAACUAAUGGACCUGAUUUGUGCUUAAUGUUACAAAGUGCUAUUCGAAUAAAAACAUUGUUACGUCAUCUUAAAGUAAUAUUAUCUAUGUUGUUCUGUGAUUUCUGAAUUAAUUCGAAAAACUGAAAUUGACAGUAAACCGGUUUAAAAAGUUUUAUCGAUUCAACAAAAUAAACAAUACUUCCAAUUUCGAGUCGACAGUGUGCGGUUACAAAACGUUUAAAGUUGAAGUAAAAGCGGGAAUUGUUCGUCGGGUGGCGAGUUGUCGUAAAAUAACAUCUGGCGCAGAGUAGGUAGCGGUUCUGACUAAGGAAACAUAAAUAAACGUGCCUCCGACGCCGGCCGGAGCUCGAAACUUCUCCUGAGACCAAAAUUAUAUUUAGCUAUGGAGAAAAGUAUGGCACGCCGUCGAUGUCCGAAAGAUCUAUAAAGCAAGUUAUAAAGAUUUGACAGUUCGAUUUAAUUUCAAGUGAAUCACUCGCGAAUUAAAGAAUACAAACUGCAUAGAGUUGAAAAUUAGUUUUAACACUUUCUCAUUUCAGUAUCAUACGAUUUAUACGUGAUAUAUUAAUGUAAAUAAGUAAAUCAUUAAAACAGAAGCAAGUAGGUGUGAACAGGACAGAGGUAGAAAUGUGAUAUUGUCAAUGUCAGGGUGUUAGCAAAAAAACGGGCGGGAGACAAAAAGAGUCGGUCGGUGUGCCGCGCCUGCGCCGCAUCUGGGGCGCGCCCGGCAUGCGACCUCUUGCCCACCCAUUUCUGCGCUCUUAAGAAUCGUACUGCUUUGUUUCCUGCAUUGUUUCAACUUACCUCAUGGCACAUUACAAAUAUUAGUGGAUGCAACCAAAUGUUCAAAACGGAUACGAUCCUUUUGUAUGCAACUUCUUUUUUUGUACCAUAAACGAUUCCGUCGAAUUCAUUAAAAUAAUAAUACAGCAUAGUAUAUCCACAGCCGUUUUUUGUUAUUUAUUUAUUAUGUUUCAGACUUUUAGAAUUUGCUUGUCGUAUUAUUAAAUCAGAAUCAGUGUAUAUAAAAUGUACACUUAGAUUAUUUUUGAUUGUAAUAUUGUUUAACAACAUUAAAGAGAUGAUCGUCAAUAAUAUUAGUUGAAUGAUCUUCGUCAAUUAAACAAAUUGCUUCAAGUUCGAAGAGAAUUGAAAGGAAUGUUGAUAAAGCAAGUCUGCGUCAACAUUUCUCUUAAUGUACAUUAAAGAAAAAGUUUGCGUUUAUUGUUUCACUAGGCGGAGGAGUUGGACGUGGCGGCGGGAUUGGGGCAAUGACAGCGCGCGCGCAUUACAAUGAGCGGCUCUCAGGAGGCGAGAGGCGCGCCGCGGCGGGCGCCACCGACAACGUCUCGGACGCCGGGUCCGCUGUACGACGUCCGCCGCAUUCAAUAGCGCACAUCGUUCCGCGCUAUAAACCCGGGAUCGACCCGGCCCGAGCCCUUUAAUACAGCACGCAUUUAACUACGGCACAAAGGAGCGCUCUAUGAGAAAGGGAUCUUGACCUACCAGUUCCUGCAUAAUGUUCGACUUAAAAAUAUCGCCUUUGAAAAACAAUUUAUUCAUGCAUCUCCGCAACGACUAUUUCUAACAAAAGAAUACGAAACUAGACAGGGGGAUAAUGAAAGCUAGUCAAAGCCAUUUUAAUAGAGUUACUUACGUGCAAUUCGGUUACGUAUUAUUUUUUUAAACAUUGCAUGGGUGAAUAGUGUGUGUGUCCGAAGGGGUAAAUAACAUAAUAAUAAUAUUUUAUAAUAUUACAAUACAUUGUUUAAAAAUGUUAGUUGCUGUGUGGAAAAUUAAUGUGUUGCUAUAAAAUAGGUUCUGAUUUAAUGUUCCAAUGAAGACAUAAAGCUCUGGAUUGGCCAGCGAUCGUGUUAUGGCAUCGCUUCUCGCCGGCCAGUGCUAAAAUAACCAGCACAGGAAUCUUUGGCAGAGGUCCAGGUGCGGCGAUUUUCUCACUUUUCCAUUCACGUGUAUUUUAAAUUUAAUAUCAACUCAUAUACAAUUUCAUUACGUAGUAAUGUAAUAUGAAUGUUUCUUUCAAAGUUAUUUUGUCGUAACGAAUGGCAUACAUUAAAUUAUUUUUAAGCUCCGUGUGCAGAGGUAAAAUGAACAUAACUGAUACAUUUAGAAUAAAAAGUUAAAAAC